AUGGUGUGGCGCGGCCUGAUGACGUAGAUUUAGUGGCAAACAUGGCGAAGAAGAAGCAACGUGGGAAAGAAGCUUUAUCUGCCGGAGAAAAAACGGCUAAAAACCUGGACGUGGUUCUGGAGUCGAGCGACGACGAGGCUCCGGAGGAGGUGACCUUCCAGGACUCCAGGCUGGAGGCUCUCCGGAGGCUGAAGGAGGCGCUGGACACGGAAAGGAGAGAGAAGGAGCUGCUGAAGGAGAAGAGGAGGAAGAGACAGGAGCUCUUCCAGGAGCAGAAGAAGAGAAAACUGUUCCCGGCUGAAGCGUUGGAGGAAAUCCACUCGUCUGCUCUGAAGAAGCAGAAACAGUCUGAAGAUGAAGCUGGAGAAGAGAAGGAGACGACGAAGAAGAAGAAGAAGACGACGAAAUCUGCACAUUCUAGAACGCUGAAGGGAAGCUACACCGUCAGGACCAUGGAGGAUCAAACGUCGACGUUCUUCCAGCAGCAGGCGGCCGAAGAGUUCCUCCAGUCCAGACUGUAUGGAGCUGGAAGCUGCAGAACCACCAGUAACGAGCUGCUGUCGCUCCAGAACAAGAAGGGAACCAAUCAGAGCGCAGCCUUGCAGUUUGUGAGGAAGGACUGGGGUAGGUCCAGUUAGAACCUCUAGACCACGGUUCAGAUCAUCGGUUUGACCAGGUUCACAUCCAGGUGUUUAUUCAGCUUUAGACGACCAAAUCUGAAAUCACAACAUCUGGUUCUUCAUCCACAGUAACUUUAUCAAUGAUCAGAGUUCUAUCUUCAGACUGGGAAUAUUUCCAGAGUUCCAGGUCCUUGAAGUUCAUAGAGGAGAACGUUCUCCAGUUGUCGGUAGGUCUACUUUAGAACUUUCUCCAGUUGUCAGUAGGUCUACUUUAGAACUUUCUCCAGUUGUCGGUAGGUCUACUCUAGAACUUUCUCCAGUUGUCAGUAGGUCUACUUUAGAACUUUCUCCAGUUGUCGGUAGGUCUACUCUAGAACUUUCUCCAGUUGUCGGUAGGUCUACUCUAGAACUUUCUCCGGGGGACAUUCUCCUUUAUGGACUUCAAGGACCUGGAACUCUGGAAAUAUUCCCAGUCUGAAGGUAGAACUCUGAUCAUUGAUAAAGUUACUGAUUCCUCUGUUCUCUGGGUGCAAAUUGAUUCUCAUUUGGUUUUAAUUAAGGAGUUAAUAAUAAUUCAGAAGAAGUUCAUGUUUGAACACUUCGUCUC